rnacentral:misc_RNA from 1 species
CAAAGUUUCAUUCAUUCCUUUUCCUCAUCAAGUCGCUCAAUAUUCUUCUUUCUAAACCCUAGAAAUUCUCAAAGCAAUGGCCGCCGUUUCUAAGGCUUCUUUCAUGGCUCUUGUAGUUGUCUUGUUCGCCGUCUUCUCCAUUGCCGUCGCUCAAUCUGCAGAGUCUCCCGCUCCUGCUCCGGCUUCUCCUGCUAUCUCUGUUGUCCCGUCGUUGAGCGUCGCUUGCGUUGGUGCUUUUGUUGCUCUCCUCUUUGGAUCUGCACUCAAGGCUUGAAUUUCACAUUGAUAUUCCUACGCGUUUCGUGAUUUAAUCCAUGGAUUCGGUACUGAUGCUCGAUUAUUG